rnacentral:piRNA from 1 species
AAUUAGACUUUGAGUGAUCUUGAGCCUU